AUUGAACGCUGGCGGCAUGCCUUACACAUGCAAGUCGAACGGUAAUGGGUCCUUCGGGAUGCCGACGAGUGGCGAACGGGUGAGUAAUAUAUCGGAACGUGCCCAGUAGUGGGGGAUAACUGCUCGAAAGAGCAGCUAAUACCGCAUACGACCUGAGGGUGAAAGGGGGGGAUCGCAAGACCUCUCGCUAUUGGAGCGGCCGAUAUCAGAUUAGCUAGUUGGUGGGGUAAAGGCCUACCAAGGCAACGAUCUGGAGUUGGUCUGAGAGGACGACCGGCCACACUUGGACUGAGACACGGCCCAGACUCCUACGGGAGGCGGCAGUGGGGAAUUUUGGACAAUGGGCGCAAGCCUGAUCCAGCAAUGCCGCGUGCAGGAAGAAGGCCUUCGGGUUGUAAACUGCUUUUGUCAGGGAAGAAAUCUUCUGGGCUAAUACCCCGGGAGGAUGACGGUACCUGAAGAAUAAGCACCGGCUAACUACGUGCCAGCCGCCGCCGUAA
rnacentral:rRNA from 1 species